AUAAAUGGGCAAUAGUUAGGAGAGGUGCGCCAGCGGCGAGCAGAAGCAAGGUUAUUAGAUACCUCAGGAAAGGAGCAAGAGUGGAAUGGAAGAAAGAAAGCUGUCCUUAUCUUCUUCUUCUCCUCCUCCCGACAUGAAGGAAUGCCCGAUAAUCCUUCGGGGGCUGGUAUGUCCUUUCAGUUCUGGUCUGGGGAACGCCGAUCAGAGAAAGCACUCCUAUACUGCCUGGUGUUGAUUCGGCAAUUUGCG
rnacentral:lncRNA from 1 species